rnacentral:lncRNA from 1 species
AUGGGGGCGGCCACCCGCCGGGGGGUUUGGGGGAAAGCGAGGCAGCGAAACGCCGCGCACUCACCGCUGCGCUCCGGCCAGGCGGGUGGGGGUGCGGUGGGUCCAGCACCAGGGUGCGGGGGUGCAAAAAGGGGGUGCAAAGGGGGUGAAAAAGGGGUGCAAAGGGGGGGGGGUCCUCGCCGUGCCCCCGGGCGCGCAGCAGCAGCCGCCCCGCAGCCUUUGUGCGCCGCCGCGCGGCCCCGCCGGGCUGCACGCGCUGCUUGCACGCGCACGGCGCCAACUGCACCCCCCCAACACACACACACCCCAUACACACCCCCAUACCCCAUACACACACACAUACCCCAUACACACACCCGGGAGCCCCCCCCGUUUAGGUCCUGUCCCCCCCCAACCCCAAGCCCGGCCCCACGGCGCAUCCCCAGCGCAUCCCGCCCGCCCCACUGCGCCCUCGGCGGGGCCUGGAGGGGACAUUUUGGGACCCCCCCUACCCUCAAAUCCCCCCUCCCCGACCCCCAUCACGGGCACGGCAGCGUUACCUCGGCGGCCCCGCUGCUCACUCCAUCCCUUCCCUUCCCUCCUCGCCUCUCCGCCCCGCCGCGGGCACGGCCGGGGAGGGGCAGGGGGCAGGGCCGGGGAGGGGACGGGAUGGGGGAGGGCCUGGGGAGGGGGGGGGGGGGGCGGUGCACGAUGUGGCAGGAAGGGACACCUGGGCUCCUCCUCCUUCCCCCGGUGGAGCACUAUCUGGCAGCGGCCGCCUCCAGGCUGAGUCUGGGGGGGGGGCUGCGAGGGGCUGGGGCUCUGAGGAGGAGGAGGAGGAGGAUGAAGAAGAGGAGGAGGAGGAGGAGGAGGAGGAGGAGGAAGGAGAGGAGGAGGAAGAGGAGGCCCCGCCCGCCUCCCUCCAUUGUUGUUCCCGCCCGGAGAGGAGGGGAGGGACCUGGUUCCCCCCCCCCGCUGUGCUGCAGUGUGUGCGCAACAUGCAAAUCGCUUUUUUUUUUUUUUUUUUUCUUUUUUUUUUUUUUUUUUUCAAUAGCUGGCCCCGCGGCUGGGCUCUGCGGCUGCAGUCGCCCCUGUGCUGCUCCCUGCGCGGCGUUACAGGGGUUUGGGGUUUGGGGUUUGGGGUUGGCUGGCCCACCCCUGACCAGCCCCCUUUGA